rnacentral:rRNA from 1 species
UUACCAGACUCCUACGGGAGGCAGCAGUGGGGAAUAUUGCACAAUGGGGGGAACCCUGAUGCAGCGACGCCGCGUGGGUGAAGAAGUCAUUCGUGACGUAAAGCCCUAUCAGCAGGGAAGAAAAUGACGGUACCUGACUAAGAAGCCCCGGCUAACUACGUGCCAGCAGCCGCGGUAAUACGUAGGGAGCAAGCGUUAUCCGGAUUUACUGGGUGUAAAGGGCGCGUAGGCGGGAUGGCAAGUCAGAUGUGAAAUCCAAGGGCUCAACCCUUGAACUGCAUUUGAAACUGUCGUUCUUGAGUACUGGAGAGGUUGACGGAAUUCCUAGUGUAGCGGUGAAAUGCGUAGAUAUUAGGAGGAACACCAGUGGCGAAGGCGGUCAACUGGACAGCAACUGACGCUGAGGCGCGAAAGCGUGGGGAGCAAACAGGAUUAGAUACCCUUGUACAC